rnacentral:pre_miRNA from 1 species
AGUGGAAUUGCUGGGUCAUGUGGUAACUCUGUGUUUAACUUUUUGAGGAACUGUCAAACUAUUUUCCAAAGUGGCUGCACCAUUUUACAUUCCCAUCAACAGU